GGAGAGAUGGCUCAGCGGUUAAGAGCACUGGCUGUUCUUCCAGAGGACCUGGGUUCAAUUCCCAGCACCU
rnacentral:tRNA from 1 species